CCUGGUCAACAGUGUGCAAGAAUAUUUCACCAUCAGUAACUGGAUAUUCCUCAGAGCAUUGUUGUCUGUGGCUGGUGGUGAGAGUAGCAGUGGUUGGCACUUUUCCUCCACAUUCUGAAAGAGAAUUGGCUGAAAUAAAACCUUGCUUUCCAUAUGGUCGACUUGAAAUACACCAUUGAAAAGAUAAAGGAAAUCGUGUAUCCAGAGUGAAGAUGGAAUAUCAAUUGACAGGAACCUAUGAAGCUGGCACUUAUUCUGAGAGACAUAUGAAUCUAAAA